UACGAAGGGGGCUAGCGUUGUUCGGAAUUACUGGGCGUAAAGCGCGCGCAGGCGGCUAUCCAAGUCAGUGGUGAAAGCCCGGAGCUCAACUCCGGAACUGCCAUUGAAACUGUUUAGCUUGAGGACGAGAGAGGUGAGUGGAAUUCCCAGUGUAGAGGUGAAAUUCGUAGAUAUUCGCAAGAACACCAGUGGCGAAGGCGGCUCACUGGCCCGGUACUGACGCUGAGGUGCGAAAGCGUGGGGAGCA
rnacentral:rRNA from 1 species